rnacentral:rRNA from 1 species
AUGAUUAGAGACUUCUGGUGGGGGGACGAAGAAGGCCAUAGAAGAGUACACUGGAUGGCUUGGGAGCGCAUGAUUAAACCCAAACGGGCUGGUGGUAUAGGAUUCAGAGAAAUGCAUCUUUUCAACCAAGCACUCCUUGCUAAACAAGGAUGGAGGUUAAUUCAAUCCCCGGGAAGUCUUUGUGGGAGAGUCCUGAAAUCUAAGUACUACGCCAAGGGUGAUCUUCUAGACACCGUUUUUGCCUCGGAUGCCUCCCCGGUGUGGAAGGCCAUAGAAUUUGGA